rnacentral:rRNA from 1 species
ACUCCUACGGGAGGCAGCAGUAGGGAAUCUUCCACAAUGGGCGCAAGCCUGAUGGAGCAACACCGCGUGAGUGAAGAAGGGUUUCGGCUCGUAAAGCUCUGUUGUUAAAGAAGAACACGUAUGAGAGUAACUGUUCAUACGUUGACGGUAUUUAACCAGAAAGUCACGGCUAACUACGUGCCAGCAGCCGCGGUAAUACGUAGGUGGCAAGCGUUAUCCGGAUUUAUUGGGCGUAAAGAGAGUGCAGGCGGUUUUCUAAGUCUGAUGUGAAAGCCUUCGGCUUAACCGGAGAAGUGCAUCGGAAACUGGAUAACUUGAGUGCAGAAGAGGGUAGUGGAACUCCAUGUGUAGCGGUGGAAUGCGUAGAUAUAUGGAAGAACGCCAGUGGCGAAGGCGGCUACCUGGUCUGCAACUGACGCUGAGACUCGAAAGCAUGGGUAGCGAACAGGAUUAGAUACC